rfam:Dipodomys ordii contig_6630, whole genome shotgun sequence.
GGGAAUGUGGCUUAAUGGUAGAGUGCUUGCCUAGCAUGCAUGAAGCCCUGGGUUCGAAACCUCAGUACUACAA